CCAUGAUUCAGCGGCGGACGGGUGAGUAACGCCUAGGAAUCUGCCUGGUAGUGGGGGACAACGUUUCGAAAGGAACGCUAAUACCGCAUACGUCCUACGGGAGAAAGUGGGGGAUCUUCGGACCUCACGCUAUCAGAUGAGCCUAGGUCGGAUUAGCUAGUUGGUGAGGUAAAGGCUCACCAAGGCGACGAUCCGUAACUGGUCUGAGAGGAUGAUCAGUCACACUGGAACUGAGACACGGUCCAGACUCCUACGGGAGGCAGCAGUGGGGAAUAUUGGACAAUGGGCGAAAGCCUGAUCCAGCCAUGCCGCGUGUGUGAAGAAGGUCUUCGGAUUGUAAAGCACUUUAAGUUGGGAGGAAGGGCAGUAAGUUAAUACCUUGCUGUUUUGACGUUACCGACAGAAUAAGCACCGGCUAACUUCGUGCCAGCAGCCGCGGUAAUACGAAGGGUGCAAGCGUUAAUCGGAAUUACUGGGCGUAAAGCGCGCGUAGGUGGUUCGUUAAGUUGGAUGCGAAAGCCCCGGGCUCAACCUGGGAACUGCAUCCAAAACUGGCGAGCUAGAGUAUGGCAGAGGGUGGUGGAAUUUCCUGUGUAGCGG
rnacentral:rRNA from 1 species